GCCGACGUGGUGAAAUUGGUAGACACGCUAUCUUGAGGGGGUAGUGGCGAGAGCCAUCCCGGUUCGAGUCCGGGCGUCGGCACCA
rnacentral:tRNA from 1 species